UCAACUACAAAGACAAAAAUACCACAUAAAUUUGCAGUCACCAAGGACCAAGGACAUUUUGACCUUAGUGUAAGUAUUGACAAAAAUUGCUUGAAGGAUGAGCUUCGAAAUAUUAUUUUUUCUCCUUAAUCUAUAUUAUAGUGCAAAGGAAAAUUAUCUGACCAUGUCUCCAACACAACCCGGGCCCGGACAUUUUUAUAAUGGUACGGGGUGAAAAUCUUGUGUUUUAAUAGCUACUCUCAUUAUUUAUACAUGUAAGCAUGUGUGACGAGGAAGUAUUCCCUGUUUCUUUCUUUUUAAAGGUCUGUCUAGGGUUCAAUAAAAGGGAAACCAGAAACUGAACACGGCCAAACUUGCAU